GCGCUUUUAGCUCAGUUGGGAGAGCAUCUGGUUUACACCCAGAAGGUCACAGGUUCGAGCCCUGUAGAGCGCACCA
rnacentral:tRNA from 1 species